UGUCGCAUAGCUCAACGGAUAGAGCGCUUGGCUACGAACCAAGAGGCUGGGGGUUCGAAUCCCUCUGUGACAGCGA
rnacentral:tRNA from 1 species